CCGUACGAACGAUAUGUGGAGCAGCCCCAAAUCCAAAUUCAAAUCCAAAUAUUCACAGCCGCAGAUUGUUUGGCAAUGCGGGGAAGACUCAGGUGGCGGCUUCUGUUGUGGUCAUUUGGGCCUCAACUGCUUUCCGAUGCGGACUUGACCUGCUUGGGGGCGGAGCUCCUCGGCCAUUUAUAAUUGAGAAUGCUCGAGAACGACCAGCCAGCGGUGGAGCACCUUGAUUUCAUGUUUCGUGGUAGUAGUAGUGAUAGUGAUAGCAGUAAUGGUCUACACCUGUAAGUCGUAGUAAACGGAUAUUGGACUUCUUGAGCAGAUAUAUUUGUUACUUGUUGGUGCUGAAUUAAUCUGAGUGUGGCAACAACAAUUCACCGAUAGAGAUGCUUACCUGCUGCCUCUGCCCGCGGCGCUGCCGCAGC